CAGCAGCCGCGGUAAACCGUAGGAGGCAAGCGUUAUCCGGAUUUACUGGGCGUAAAGCGCGUGUAGGCGGUUUGGUAAGUCGGACGUGAAAGUUCCCGGCUCAACUGGGAGAAGCCGUUCGAAACUACCAGACUAGAGGGCAAUAGAGGAAGGUGGAAUUCCCGGU
rnacentral:rRNA from 1 species